CCUACGGGGGGCAGCAGUGGGGAAUAUUGCACAAUGGGGGAAACCCUGAUGCAGCGACGCCGCGUGAGUGAAGAAGUAUUUCGGUAUGUAAAGCUCUAUCAGCAGGGAAGAAAAUGACGGUACCUGACUAAGAAGCCCCGGCUAACUACGUGCCAGCAGCCGCGGUAAUACGUAGGGGGCAAGCGUUAUCCGGAUUUACUGGGUGUAAAGGGAGCGUAGACGGCCAGACAAGUCAGAAGUGAAAGCCCAGGGCUCAACCCUGGGACUGCUUUUGAAACUGCCGGGCUGGAGUGCAGGAGAGGUAA
rnacentral:rRNA from 1 species